GGAGGGAACCGGACGGUCGAUCCGAUGCAAUAUCGGAUAGGAAAGUCCGAACUCCAGAGGGCGCGGCGCCCCGGGAAACCGGGGGAUCCCGUUUUUUCGGGAGACGGAAAGUGCCACAGAAACAUACCGUCCCGACUCGUCGGGAUAAGGGUGAAAUCGUGCGGUAAGAGCGCACGUCCCGGUGGAGCAAUCCACCGGGAGGGUAAACCCCGCCGGGAGCAAGACCAAAUAGGGGAGGGAUGACGCGGCCCGCCGACCUCCCGGGUUGGUCGCUUAGAUAAAUGACCGUCGGCCCCGAUUCGUCGGGGUGCACAGAAUUCGGCUUACAGGUUUCCUCCGCUG
rnacentral:RNase_P_RNA from 6 species